UACAUGGGGUGCAAACGUUGCUCGGAAUUAUUGGGCGUAAAGCGCGCGUAGGCGGUUACUCAAGUCGGAUGUGAAAGCCCUUGGCUCAACUGAGGAAGUGCAUCCGAAACUGGCAGGCUAGAGUACUAAAGAGGGUCGCGGAAUUCCCGGUGUAGAGGUGAAAUUCGUAGAUAUCGGGAGGAACACCGGUGGCGAAGGCGGCGACCUGGGUAGAUACUGACGCUGAGGUGCGAAAGCGUGGGGAGCAAACAGG
rnacentral:rRNA from 1 species